rnacentral:rRNA from 1 species
CCUACGGGAGGCAGCAGUGAGGAAUAUUGGUCAAUGGACGAGAGUCUGAACCAGCCAAGUAGCGUGAAGGAUGACUGCCCUAUGGGUUGUAAACUUCUUUUAUCUGGGAAUAAAACGUUCCACGUGUGGGAUUUUGUAUGUACCAUAUGAAUAAGGAUCGGCUAACUCCGUGCCAGCAGCCGCGGUAAUACGGAGGAUCCGAGCGUUAUCCGGAUUUAUUGGGUUUAAAGGAAUCGUAGGUGGAUUGUUAAGUCAGUUGUGAAAGUUUGCGGCUCAACCGUAAAAUUGCAGUUGAAACUGGCAGUCUUGAGUACAGUAGAGGUGGGCGGAAUUCGUGGUGUAGCGGUGAAAUGCUUAGAUAUCACGAAGAACUCCGAUUGCGAAGGCAGUUCACUGGACUGCAACUGACACUGAGGCUCGAAAGUGUGGGUAUCAAACAGGAUUAGAUACCCGAGUAGUC